rnacentral:rRNA from 1 species
UACGUAGGGGGCAAGCGUUGUCCGGAAUGAUUGGGCGUAAAGGGCGCGUAGGCGGCCUGUUAAGUCUGGAGUGAAAGUCCUGCGUUCAAGGUGGGAAUUGCUUUGGAUACUGAUGGGCUUGAGUGCAGGAGAGGUUAGUGGAAUUCCCAGUGUAGCGGUGAAAUGCGUAGAGAUUGGGAGGAACACCAGUGGCGAAGGCGACUAACUGGACUGUAACUGACGCUGAGGCGCGAAAGUGUGGGGAGCAAACAGG